GGUGUGGCGGGUGCAUAUACAUGUAGUCGACGGAGGUCGUAGCGAUAUGAUCUUAGUGGCGAACGGGUGAGUAACGCGUUGGUGACCUGCCCCGAAGAUUGGGAUAGCAGCUCGAAAGGGCUGAUAAUACCGGAUAAUGUCUCCCGGGUUAGAGGCUGGGAGAAGAAAGCAGCGAUGCGCUUUGGGAGGGACCUGCGUCCCAUCAGCUAGUUGGUGAGGUAGAAGCUCACCAAGGCGACGACGGGUAGGGGGCCUGAGAGGGUGGCCCCCCACACUGGCACUGAAACACGGGCCAGACACCUACGGGUGGCAGCAGUAGGGAAUAUUGCACAAUGGGCGAAAGCCUGAUGCAGCAACGCCGCGUGCGCGAAGAAGGCCUUCGGGUCGUAAAGCGCUUUUCUGGGAGAAGAGGAAGGACGGUAUCUCAGGAAGAAGGAUCGGCUAACUACGUGCCAGCAGCCGCGGUAAAACGUAGGAUCCGAGCGUUAUCCGAAUUCACUGGGCGUAAAGAGCGAGCAGGCGGUCGAUCAAGUUGGAUGUGAAAUCUCCCGGCUCAACUGGGAGAGGCCGUUCAAAACUGGUUGACUAGAGGGCAGUAGAGGGAGGUGGAAUUCCCGGUGUAGUGGUGAAAUGCGUAGAUAUCGGGAGGAACACCAGUGGCGAAAGCGGCCUCCUGGGCUGUACCUGACGCUGAGAUGCGAAAGCUAGGGGAGCGAACGGGAUUAGAAACCCCGGUAGUCCUAGCCGUAAACGAUGUAGACUGGGUGUUGGAGGGAUAAAAUCCACCAGUGCCGAAGCUAACGCGAUAAGUCUACCGCCUGAGGACUACGGCCGCAAGGUUAAAACUCAAAGGAAUUGACGG
rnacentral:rRNA from 1 species